rnacentral:lncRNA from 1 species
CCUUGUCUGCAGGUCAAAGAGGGGGAAAGGGGUUCCAAUGGGGUGAAUGGGGAUUUGGGUUUUAGGGAGGGGCGAUGGGCGGUGAGGAGGAUGGAGGAGCGUGUUGCAGCGGCGACGAUGGCGGAUGGCAUAGUGGCGGCGAAGGGAGGGCGGAAGCUUCGGCGGCGUUGAUGGUGAAGGCCGAGGGCGGUGGCCGCAGUCGGGGAAGCGCUGCGGUGGAGGUCUCGAGCGAUGGCGGAAGGCGGACGGCUUAGCGGCGAACGAUGGGGCGGCAAACCGCGGUGGAAGA